rnacentral:rRNA from 1 species
GUGGGGAAUCUUCCGCAAUGGACGAAAGUCUGACGGAGCAACGCCGCGUGAGUGAAGAAGGUUUUCGGAUCGUAAAGCUCUUUCGUUAGGGACGAACGUGCUCUUUGUGAAUAAUGAGGAGUAAUGACGGUACCUAAAUAAGAAGCCACGGCUAACUACGUGCCAGCAGCCGCGGUAAUACGUAGGUGGCAAGCGUUGUCCGGAAUUAUUGGGCGUAAAGCGCGCGCAGGCGGGAUAUCAAGUCUGUCUUAAAAGUGGGAGGCUCAACCUCGUGAGGGGACAGAAACUGGUAUUCUUGAGUGUCGGAGAGGAAAGUGGAAUUCCAAGUGUAGCGGUGAAAUGCGUAGAGAUUUGGAAGAACACCAGUGGCGAAGGCGACUUUCUGGACGAUGUCUGACGCUGAGGCGCGAAAGCUAGGGGAGCGAACGGGAUUAGAAACCCUAGUAGUCC